CAGGCCUAACACAUGCAAGUCGAGGGGUAACGAUGUCUUCGGACAGGCGACGACCGGCGCACGGGUGAGUAUCGCGUUUGUAACCUACCUUUAACUGGAGAAUAGCCCGAAGAAAUUCGGAUUAAUACUCCAUAAUACUAUGAUCUGGCAUCUUUUUAUAGUUAAAGCUCCGGCGGUUAAAGAUGGACAUGCGUAACAUUAGUUUGUUGGUGAGGUAACGGCUCACCAAGACUACGAUGUUUAGGGGGUCUGAGAGGAUGGUCCCCCACACUGGUACUGAGACACGGACCAGACUCCUACGGGAGGCAGCAGUGAGGAAUAUUGGUCAAUGGGCGAAAGCCUGAACCAGCCAUGCCGCGUGAAGGAUGACAGCGCUAUGCGUUGUAAACUUCUUUUGUACAGGAAGAAACACUUCUACGUGUAGAAGCUUGACGGUACUGUACGAAUAAGCAUCGGCUAACUCCGUGCCAGCAGCCGCGGUAAUACGGAGGAUGCAAGCGUUAUCCGGAUUUAUUGGGUUUAAAGGGUACGUAGGCGGAAAAUUAAGUCAGUAGUGAAAUCCCGCAGCUUAACUGUGGAACUGUUAUUGAUACUGGUUUUCUUGAAUUUAGUUGAGGUAGGCGGAAUGUGUAAUGUAGCGGUGAAAUGCUUAGAUAUUACACAGAACACCGAUUGCGAAGGCAGCUUACUAAGCUAUGAUUGACGCUGAGGUACGAAAGCGUGGGGAGCGAACAGGGUUAGAUACCCUGGUAGUCCACGCCGUAAACGAUGAUCACUCGUUGUUGGCAAUAAACAGUCAGCGACUGAGCGAAAGCAUUAAGUGAUCCACCUGGGGAGUACGCUCGCAAGAGUGAAACUCAAAGGAAUUGACGGGGGCCCGCACAAGCGGAGGAACAUGUGGUUUAAUUCGAUGAUACGCGAGGAACCUU
rnacentral:rRNA from 1 species